AGUCUAUAGUUCUAUAGAAUCUUGGAAUGUGGAUCCAAAGGCUAAGACUC
rnacentral:tRNA from 1 species